CGCACCCGGAAGUGUCUCGGGCGGGUGGGCGUCGCGCCGCCCGGGCCUCUCCGCCAUGGGCCGCAGCAAGAAGAAGCAGCGAGAUGGCGACGACCGGCGUCCGCGGCUCGUUCUCAGCUUCGACGAGGAGAAGCGGCGGGAGUACCUAACAGGCUUCCACAAGCGGAAGGUGGAGCGGAAGAAGGCAGCCAUUGAGGAGAUCAAGCAGCGCCUCAAGGAGGAGCAGAGGAAGCUCCGGGAGGAGCGCCACCAGGAAUACUUGAAGAUGCUGGCGGAGAGAGAGGAGGCGCUGGAGGAGGCGGAUGAACUGGACCGGCUGGUGACGGCAAAGACAGAGUCGGUGCAGUACGACCACCCCAACCACACUGUCACCGUGACCACCAUCAGCGACCUGGACCUCUCGGGGGCCCGGCUCCUCGGGCUGCCCUCAGCUGAGCAAGGGGCUGGGCACGGGUCUGAGGAGGAGGCGGCGUCCGUGGAGAAGCCGACCAGAGCCUUACCCAGGAAGUCCAGGGACCCCCUGCUCUCCCAGCGGAUCUCCUCUCUCACGGCAUCACUGCACGCACACAGUCGCAAAAAGGUCAAGAGGAAACACCCCCGACGGGCCCAGGACUCCACCAAGAAGCCCCCGAGUGCCACUCGUACCAGCAAGAGCCAGCGCCGCCGGCUGACUGGCAAAGCCCGGCACGGCGGGGAGUGAGCCAGAGAGCCAGGCUGGGCUCCAGCCGGGGCUGCGGGGACCUGUCCUGUCUCAGCUUGGCUGUCCCCGCAACCCAGCCUGCACCGAGCCAGUGACGCCACAGCUGCAGCCUGGGGCUUGGAGCCUGAAGGAGCAGGCAGCUGAGAGCCGGCCUCCCCCAGGAGCCUCUGGGACUAAGUUUGGGCAUCUUCCCAAAUGUCUCCCCCUGGGGCCUGCAUCAGAUUUGUGAAACUAAGUGCACUUGUUUUGUGUUUGUCCCCAGCCCUGAUGCCCCGUGCCAAGGGCAGGCCCCUGGGGUGGUGGAGACAGUUGGGGAGUGGGUCCAUCCUCACUCUCAGCAGAUCUCCCCCGGGGUGUGAAAAGGUGGUGGUAGGUCCAGGUCCUUAAACAGGGAUGAAGGCCAGCGUAGCUGCUGGUCGAGUGCAGAGUCUACCCGCUGCUCUGAACGGUGCACGGCGGGGCAGGUGGGCGAGCAGGGUCUGCUCUGCCCUGUCCUGGCUGAGACUCGGGGCCUGUCCUCCUCCUUGGCCCCUCUCUCCUGGCUGAAAUUGAAGUGGUGGGAGGACAUGAGUCCUGGCACAUUCCCCAGCCCCAAACUCGGGCAGCUUCCCCCGCUUCCGUCAGCUCCCUGCCAGAGCUACCAAGGAGGGAGUGAGUGAGUAGUCCUUUCUAGAGAAGAUGCCUCUCACUCGCCUGCAGGUGUGGCCCUUUCAGAGCAGAGCCCUCAGGGGGCCAGCUGGGCUAAGGGCUGCCAUUUGUUCAUGCUCCUUCCAGAAGGAUCUUUGGGUGAAGCUCACUUUCACAUCCCUUGCUGCCCUGACCCGGCAGGGCUGUCGGCAGAAUCCAGGCCCCCUGCGGCAGGAAGAUGAGGCUCCAGUGACGACAACCAGAGCACUUGUUCUGGAGCAUCGUCAGACCCCUUUUGCCACUUAGGGUCCCUCUGAUUCUGGGGCUGGAGCACAGCAGUUUCGGGUUGUGCCCUGGUUAGGGGAACCACGUUGGGCCCUAACACCAGGACUGCAAAGGGGAGCGACGUGCCCUCAGCCCUGGGGAAGCUCGUGGACUAGUGCAGAAGAGGGUCAGGCUGACCAGAGCACAGCUGCAGGUGCUGCCCAGCCCUGCGUGCGGGAGGCUCCUGAGGAGAGGGAGCAGGGAGCUGCGGUCUGUGGGCCUGCCAGGAGCAGCCCGUUGGACAGGCGCUCUCCCAUGCCACCGUUAGAACCCACCGGCUGCUGAUGGCUGAAGGCCACGCCUGGGCCUGGGAACUCGAAGCUCAGGGCCUGUGACUGGGAGGCCCUGUGACCUGGCUUAUCAGCUCCUUCCACUUGCUCUUCCUGCUGCCUUCCUGUUCUCGCCUGUGCUUGGGGUGGGGUGCCUCGCUCCACUGGGCCGCCUCUGUCCUGGGCAGAAGGUGGGACCUGUUAGCGCGCUCUCCAGGUGGUUCUGCUUCUCAGCCCAGGGCAGCAGUGGGAGCCUCGCCCUGACUUCAGGGCCCUGUGAGCGGAACAGCUGGGCCCAGGGGGAGCGCGCACAGCAGGGCUUGGGUUUGAAUGCUGCCUCUGCCACUCGGCCACCGCGUGAGCUCCUCGCUGGGCUGACCUCUCUGGGUCUGUUUCCCUGUCUGUGAGAUGACACAAGAUAACUACCUCUUAGGGCUGCCCCGCGGCUGAAAUGAGGCCAUGUGCACGAUCCACUUCUGUCGCACCUGCUGUGUUUGUUCGCAGCUACUGCUGUCUGUCUGCCUGACCCGGGUCUCUUCUCCCACCCCCAGUGACGUGAGGUUGUUUACAAUUUACGUCUACCAUUUGUGCUGAUAACUAGUAUUAAAUUCUCAUCUGCUCUCUCCUGUGUGCCAUCAGUUCUUCUAUCAGACCAAGGAAGGCCCUGCUGAGACCUUCCCUGUCCAGUGAACUUCGCCCUCCCCUUCCACGCUGGUCACCGUGAUUGACACAUAACAAAAGAGGGUGGUAAACAAAUUUAUGGAGCACCUCUGAUGUGCCAGACAGUUACACCGUUAACUCACAACAGUGCUGUGAAGUGGGUAUCAGCUCCAUUUGACAGAUGAGAACACUGAGUCUCAGAGAGGUGAAGUC